AUUGAACGCUAGCGGCAGGCUUUACACAUGCAAGUCGAGCGAGCGGCGGACGGGUGAGUAAUAUAUGGGUAUGUGCCCUAUAGAGGGGGAUAAAUACUAGAAAGGGUGGCUAAUACCGCAUACUAUCGGAGCGACCGAUAUGGGAUUAGCUUGUUGGUGGGGUAAAGGCACACCAAGGCGACGAUCUCUAGCUGGUCUGAGAGGACGAUCAGCCACACUGGGACUGAGACACGGCCCAGACUCCUACGGGAGGCAGCAGUGGGGAAUAUUGGACAAUGGGCGCAAGCCUGAUGCAGCCAUGCCGCGUGUAUGAAGAAGGCCUUAGGGUUGUAAAGUACUUUUGGCAGAGAAGCGGUAUCUGCAGAAUAAGCACCGGCUAACUACGUGCCAGCAGCCGCGGUAAUUC
rnacentral:rRNA from 1 species